rnacentral:rRNA from 1 species
UUCCGGUUGAUCCUGCCGGACCUGACUGCUAUCGGAUUGAUACUAAGCCAUGCGAGUCUUUGCAGUAAUGCAAGGCAUACGGCUCAGUAACACGUAGUCAACUUACCCUAUGGACGAGGAUAAUCUCGGGAAACUGAGCAUAAUACUCGAUAGAUCAUAAUGCCUGGAACGGUUUAUGGUUGAAAUGAUUCGUCGCCAUAGGAUAGGACCGCGGCCUAUCAGCUUGUUGGUGAGGUAAUGGCCCACCAAGGCGAUUACAGGUACGGGCUCUGAGAGGAGAAGCCCGGAGAUGGGUACUGAGACAAGGACCCAGGCCCUAUGGGGCGCAGCAGGCGAGAAAACUUUGCAAUGUGCGAAAGCACGACAAGGUUAAUCCGAGUGAUUUCUGCUAAAGAAAUCUUUUGCAAGUCAUAAAACCACUAGUGAAUAAGGGGUGGGCAAGUUCUGGUGUCAGCCGCCGCGGUAAAACCAGCACCUCAAGUGGUCAGGAGGAUUAUUGGGCCUAAAGCAUCCGUAGCCGGCUCUGUAAGUUUUCGGUUAAAUCCAUGUGCUCAACGCAUGGGCUGUCGAAAAUACUGCAUAGCUAGGGAGUGGGAGAGGUAGACGGUACUCGGUAGGAAGGGGUAAAAUCCUUUGAUCUAUCGAUGACCACCUGUGGCGAAGGCGGUCUACCAGAACACGUUCGACGGUGAGGGAUGAAAGCUGGGGGAGCAAACCGGAUUAGAUACCCGGGUAGUCCCAGCUGUAAACGAUGCAGACUCGAUGAUGCAUUGGCAUAUAGCCAGUGCAGUGUCGCAGGGAAGCCGUUAAGUCUGCCGCCUGGGAAGUACGUACGCAAGUAUGAAACUUAAAGGAAUUGGCGGGGGAGCACCACAAGGGGUGAAGCCUGCGGUUCAAUUGGAGUCAACGCCGGG